rnacentral:rRNA from 1 species
UAGGGAAUCUUCCACAAUGGACGAAAGUCUGAUGGAGCAACGCCGCGUGAGUGAAGAAGGGUUUCGGCUCGUAAAACUCUGUUAUUGGAGAAGAAGGAUAAGGUAAGUAACUGUACUUUAUUUGACGGUAACCAACCAGAAAGUCACGGCUAACUACGUGCCAG